rnacentral:lncRNA from 1 species
CUCUUUCACCGAAGAUAUUUUUGGUAUUUCAUAUUAUUGUAGGAUCUGCGGGAAGAGUACUCUCAACAUUUUAGGUCGCAGUGUUCCUCUCAGUUAGACCAUAUGAAAACUGGUAGUUUUACGAAUAAUGCUUCGGACAGCGAUUUUGAGAUUGAAAGAGAAGGCAUUGUAAUCGAGGCUAGGACGAGGGCAAUGAAUGCAGAGGAGGGCAGCGAAGACGACAGUGACAAGAAUGACGAGAAUGACAAGGACAGGGAGCAGGUGUUUAGGUUUAUCAGGGCGGGAUGUGGAUGUUCAAAAAUGAGUCACAAGAACUUUUCAUUUCAAGAGAUUUAUAUGCAUAAAUUACAUGUAAAGGAAAAGGACAAUGAGUCUAAUGAUAUGUAUGUAAUACGGGUUGUCAAAAAAGAGUGCGUCCUUCCAUCUGAUAAAACAAAACGUGGCAGACAGAGGUAGCGUGCACCGGCUAAGGACAUUUACUUUAAAGGUACUAAGGUAUGCAGGAAAGCAUUUCUGGUAUCUUUCGCUAUUGGCAAGAAAUACCUGAACACAAUCAGUUACCAUGUGAAAACUAAAGGGGUCGUUCCACGUGUGCAUAGAAACACGGGAAGAAAGGCAAAUACUGACUUAAGCUACAAUGAUGUCAAGUGCGUUGUUGAAUACAUCAAAAACUUUGCUGAUGGAAAAUGAUUGCCCCAGCCAGCUGCUCCGAAGGGAAUGACAAUAUACCCCCUAUAUUUCUGCCAUCUGACACUACCAAGAAGGAAAUGCAUGAGAAGUAUGUUUCAUUGUGUAUAAGUUCUCGUUCUGGAUUAAAGGCCGUUUCUCUGACUUUGUUCAAAAUCAUAUGGUCAAACAUUGUACCACAUAUACGUAUACCAGGACCGAGAGAGGGUGAGUGUGCUCAUUGCGAAAAGAUGAUACGGCCAGUGAUGGAUGCCAGGACCGAGCCUGAGAAACUAGAGGCAACAACAGAACUGCGAAACCACAUACCGGUUGCUCAAAAUGAGAGAGAGUUAUACAACGAGUGCAUUAGGAAGUGUAAAGAGGACCCGGACUAUACACACUACACUUUUGACUUUAGUCAGAAUUUUGCACUACCGCACAGAUCUAGAUAGAUCGGACCGCUCUUCUUUCUCACUUUACGAAAGGUUCAACUUUUCGGUUUCCGUAUAGAUGGCAUUCCUCGACUGCUAAACUUUCUCAUAAAUGAAGAUCAGACAAUUGGUUCCGACAGGAAAAUACACAUGACACGAAUUCUGUACUAUACAUAUUGGAUUUGGCUCUACAAACUUACGGAAGCAACAAGCCCCGGUUCUCAAUCCAUUCUGAUAAUUGUCCAGGCAAACAUAAAACUAUAACUGAAUGCAAUUGAACAUAAUUUUUUAUUAAUUAUAAAUUUGAAAGAUUCAUGUAGUUAUUUAGAUACAUUUAGUAGUCGAAGUGAAACGUUGCGUUUAAAAUGUUAGGACUUUAAAAUUAAAACAAAAUAUAGAAAAAGAAAUAUGCGUAUCAAUAUUUCUGAAAGAUUUAGACAUGUUUGUAGAACAAAACAAGAAUAAGUAUACCAUGGGUUACUUCAUGUGGAGGGUCAUGAUUGCUCACAAUACAGAGAUCGAGGAGUUCCUCAUGCAAACACCUGGGCAUGUACGCUGUCACGCGGAUGCCGGAUUUGCCAGCUUCAAAAUGUUGUAUCGUCGGAGCGACUGUGAGACUCUUGGAACAGUGCCCUGAUUAGUAUUCAAACCCAUGAAAGCAAUUUAAAAUUACUUUCGAGAAAUACAAUUAAGUUCGCUUCUCAAGUGAGGAACCAGACAGUGUAACUGUUCGUACUGGUCGCGAUGCUCCUGAGCAGCAGGUUACUAUCCUGAAGAUACCUGGGUUCAGAUUGUUGUCGUUUGCCCGAGCAGAAGGUAUUUCAGCUGAAGAUAUGUCACAGGAACGCCACCACAGUGUCCGUCCUUAUGUCAGACAGGAUUUGCAGGAUGUGUUUUGUGCACCCCAGAACAUGAAAAAGAUAAACAUGUUGAGAAGGACAGUCGUUCGUUGGUCCCUAUAUGUUUUGAAAGCAGUUGAAAUACUAUUUGUGACAAAACAAGGGAUCCCAUGUUAUUUGUUAUGUUAAUCACACGCUUCGAAUAUUUUAAAUAUUAAAUAUCAUUGUCAGAAUAUUCAAAUUUUGUUUAUUUUUGCACUCUUACAUAAUAUAUGCAGCUCUUUAAAACAGUCUUUCGGCAUAAUUCUGGUACCAAAAGAAAGGGUAAAGAGUGAAUAAUUCGAUGAAUGAAAAAUCUAAAAAUCGAAAAUUUUGCCCACAAGACCACUUUUUGCUAGACUGUGCUCAUAAAUAGUCUAGUAUCGGAAAACAGGGAAAACGGGUGCCUACGUUCAAACAGGAGUAAAUGUAUAUUGAUCUUAUAGUGGAUUUGUUCGCAUUAUAUGAACUUGUACUUAACCUUCUUUACUUCAAGCAUAUACUGAUCAUUUGAUCUCAGAACACAAAGAUAGACACAUCUGAUCAACUGAAUAAUAUCAAAUGCAGUAAUGAAUUUAGUAAUUAAUCCUAUGACGAUUUGCUUUCACAAAAGGCCAGUAAUCAGUUGAUGGCAAAGUUCAUCAAUGAGAAUACUGACAUGUCUAAACGCGUAAUUCUUAUAACAAGUGAUGAUCGUGCCUUGCCUAUCGGUUAUGUUGUGCAUGCAUUGAAGGUUUAAUCUCUGAUUCGCUCAAAAGAUGAGGGAAUCAAAUCAAUUGAAGAUGAAAUUCAAUGCGACGUUGACGAAAACGGAACUUUCUGCUCAUGGAAGAAGACAAAUGUGACGAAGAAACUGGACAAAGUUUUACACACACAUUUUCUUCUCGGAUAGAUGUACCAGUGGCAUGGCUGCUACUGCUUGUUUCAUAGUGGUAAGGUAUGAACCUAUUGUUUCUUUUCGGUCUCAACGUUGAAUAAGCUGUGUUCCAUAAUGAUCCAACGUUAU